rnacentral:rRNA from 1 species
AUUGAACGCUGGCGGCAUGCUUUACACAUGCAAGUCGAACGGCAGCGGGGUAGUGCUUGCACUACUGCCGGCGAGUGGCGAACGAGUGAGUAAUAUAUCAGAACGUACCGAGUAAUGGGGGAUAACCAAUCGAAAGAUUGGCUAAUACCGCAUACGUCCUGAGGGAGAAAGCGGGGGGUCGCAAGACCUCGCGUUGUUCGAGCGGCCGAUAACUGAGUAGCUAGUUGGUGGGGUCAAGGCCUACCAAGGCGACGAUCAGUAGCGGGUAUGAGAGGACGAUCCGCCACACUGGGACUGAGACACGGCCCAGACUCCUACGGGAGGCAGCAGUGGGGAAUUUUGGACAAUGGGGGCAACCCUGAUCCAGCCAUGCCGCGUGUAUGAAGAAGGCCUUCGGGUUGUAAAGUACUUUUGUUAGGGAAGAAAAGGGAAGUGCUAAUACCACUUUUUGCUGACGGUACCUAAAGAAUAAGCACCGGCUAACUACGUG